UGGAUCCAGACUUUGAUCCUGGCUCAGGAUGAACGCUAGCGACAGGCUUAACACAUGCAAGUCGAGGGGCAGCGAGGAAGUGGUAACACUUCCGUCGGCGACCGGCGCACGGGUGAGUAACGCGUAUGCAACCUGCCCUUCACAGGGGGAUAACCGGGAGAAAUUCCGACUAAUACCGCAUACGUCCUUUGGGGGCAUCCCCGGGGGAUGAAAGAAUUAUCGGUGAAGGAUGGGCACGCGUGAUAUUAGGUAGUUGGCGGGGCAACGGCCCACCGAGCCUACGAUAUCUAGGGGUUCUGAGAGGAAGGUCCCCCACAUUGGUACUGAGACACGGACCAAACUCCUACGGGAGGCAGCAGUGAGGAAUAUUGGUCAAUGGACGAGAGUCUGAACCAGCCAAGUCGCGUGAAGGAGGACGGAUCUAUGGUUUGUAAACUUCUUUAGUGCGGGAACAAAGCGGUGUCGUGACGCCGGAUGAGUGUACCGCAAGAAUAAGCAUCGGCUAACUCCGUGCCAGCAGCCGCGGUAAUACGGAGGAUGCGAGCGUUAUCCGGAUUUAUUGGGUUUAAAGGGAGCGCAGGCUGCGAGGCAAGUCAGCGGUCAAAUGUCGGGGCUCAACCCCGGCCUGCCGUUGAAACUGUCCUGCUAGAGUUCGAGUGAGGUAUGCGGAAUGCGUUGUGUAGCGGUGGAAUGCAUAGAUAUGACGCAGAACUCCGAUUGCGAAGGCAGCAUACCAACUCGCGACUGACGCUGAGGCUCGAAAGCGUGGGUAUCGAACAGGAUUAGAUACCCUGGUAGUCCACGCAGUAAACGAUGAAUACUAACUGUUCGGAGGGCGACCUCUGAGUGGUAAAGCGAAAGCGUUAAGUAUUCC
rnacentral:rRNA from 1 species